rnacentral:ncRNA from 1 species
UACCUGGUUGAUCCUUCCAGUAGUCAUAUUCUUGUCUCAAAGAUUAAGCCAUGCAUGUCUAAGUAUGAACUAAUUCACACUGUGAAACUGCGGAUGGCUCAUUAAAUAAGUUAUAGUUUCUUUGAUGGUACCCUACUACUCGGAUAACUGUAGUAAUUCUAGAGCUAAUAUGUUCACCAAGUCCCGACUCUUUGGAAGGGAUGCAUUUAUUAGAUAAUAGAUCAACGUGGGCUUGCCUGCUUCUCCGGUGAAUCAUGAUAACUCGACGGAUCGCACAACCCUUGUGCUGGCGAUGCUUCAUUCAAAUUUCUACCCUAUCAACUUUCGAUGGUAGGAUAGAGGCCUA